AUUCUCAACAAUUUUCAAGUCGUGGAUCAGAACCACCUACCAAGGGAGUUAAUCAAGUUGACGAGAUUAUUGAAUUACGUCAACAAAUGAGCAAUAUGAUGGCAAUGAUGCAACAAAUUGCAGCAGUGGUUGUAAAACCAUCACGCCCAGCUUAUGAGAAUGUAGAGCAUGUCAAUGCUAUAUUCUCAACUCAGCCGUAUGGUAUUUACUCCAACACUUACGAGAAAGUUGCAAGUACAAGUUCUGUUUACAACCAUUCGAGUGAGUUCCAACAACAAGUGCAACAACCGCAACAAGCCCAAAAUUCAGAAUUGGCAAAGAUGGUUACUUUGUUGGAGGCUCUAAUGUCCGUGGUAAAGAAAAAUCAACAACUAGUGAAAUUAAAUCAGCAGAAAAAAGAUAAUGCAAUUAAGGAGUUGCAAUCACAAGUUGGUCAACCACAGCAACAACAACCUCAAAAUCAAGGGUUCAAUAUGGAAGAGUUGUUGAAAUCUUUUAUGCAAAGAACGGAGGGUGCAGUCAAGGACUUGUAAACACAAGUUGGUUCGAUGGCCGAGGAGAUUAAUCAGUUGGAUGCACAAAAUGGUGAGAAACUCCCUUCCCAACCUCUUAACCCAAGAGAUGGUGCCAAUGCUAUUACGUUUGGAAGUGGUACACGACUUGUGCAACCUGAAAUUACUGAUUCGGGUAAAGAAGAAGGCCCAAAGGAACCAGUUUUGGAGGUUUGCUGAAGCUAAUAAGAAGGUGGAACAAGAUAGAGAUGUUUGGGAUGUUUUUAAGAAGGUCCAAGUCAAUAUUCCACUCAUUGAAGUAAUUCGGCAAUCUCCUCGCUAUGCAAAGUGUGUAAAGGAAUUGUGCACUAACAAGCACAAGCUAACCGGUAAUGAGGUAAUGAGUGUGGGAGAAAACGCUUCCGCGUAUCUUAAAAGGAAACUCCCACCUAAAUUGAAAGAUCCCGGUAGUUUCACUAUUCCAUGCACUAUUGGUAAAACGAGGUUUACAAAAGCUAUGUUAGAUUUAGGAGCUUCUAUUAAUGUUAUGCCUACUUCUAUUUAUGAUGCUUUAAACCUUGGUCCUCUUAAGAAAACCAGCAUAGUUAUUCAACUUGCUGAUAGAUCUAAUGUUUACUCGAAAGGGAUUGUUGAGGAUGUUUUGGUGCAGGUAAAAGGACUAAUAUUUCCAGUAGAUUUCUACGUUUUAGACAUGAGUGAUGUGAAUUCAUCCUCGUCUACACCUUUACUGUUGGGUAUACCAUUUUUGAGUACCGCUAGAAUGAAGAUUGAUGUCCACAAUGGCACCUUGACUAUGGAGUUUGAUGAAGAAGUCAUUCACUUCAACAUCUUUGAGGCGAGGAAACACCCAAGUAACAUUCAAUCAGAUUUCCAUAACGUGUUGGAAACCGGCUAAGGCGUGGCAAACAAGGAGAUAGUCGGGCUGACGACUUUAAACCAAGCGAUGCAUGGGAGGCAACCCAUACGAUGAGUAUUUCUUUUAACACCAUCCACUUUAUCUCUCGCUACACCAACAGAUCCAUAGAAAC